AGCAAAAAAGAUGAACUCCUCAAAGGAAGAAUUUUUCUUUGCAUUUCUUCUUAAGGUAACAUCUGGUUUCAGUGAACUGGAGGAAAACACAAGGAGACAGUGGCAGGGGAAGAGCAGCCUACCGUGGCUCUCCAUGAGACAAGCUCAGAGUGUGAGAUGCACAGUUUUUCCAGAGUUCCAACACCUGGAGCAGAAUUAUCACUGUCCAGAUGAUGACCAAAACAAGAAUAAUCCAGCACUGUAAAGGAAAUUUUCAAGAUGUGCCUGGGUGACUAUGCUGGCCAAUGGAACAUAACUUGAAACGGCAUGUGUGAUUUCUGGAAAACAUCUCUAAAGUGAGGGGCAUACGCUUCUUUACCCCUUCUCUGGCUGGAACGCAGCUGUGGGGGCUGGGUGAAUAGUGAUCUUUCCCAUGAGGUGGAAGUUACAGUUUGAGGAUUAGAGAAACAAAAGAUAAAGGUUCUGACCUACAGCGGAGUGCCAUAUCCGCCCUGGAUGUGCACCUCUGCAUUUUGUUUAGUCGAGAGAAAAAUAGACCUUUAUCUUGUUUCCUUAUCUUAUCAAGUAAAGGAAGGGCCUGCGCUGGCCCCAUAGGAAGCCAGAGUCCCUUGCUAUUGAACCACGUGACAACUUUAGCCAAGGGCUCUGCAGAGGGAGUCUGUGUGGAGAGAGGAGACAAAAUAGCUCGCGGUUAUUUUGCUUUCUGUAAUUUUGUGUACUGAACCUUGCACCUGCACCUGUUCCUAAGUGAGACAGGUAGUCAGGGCAAAAUCAUGAGACCCUUGGUGAAGCUAUGUCAGGAUGCAGCACUGUAUUUGCAGGUGGUGGUAAUCCAUUAGAGGAAUUUAAACAAGACAGUGGCAUGGUCACACUUGUGCUAAAGAUUUCUCUAGCUGUAGUUAGAGAAUACAUGUGGGAGUGGGGAGGGGCAAAAAGAUCUCAAAGAAGCAAUGAUUUCUUGCAAGAGCAGUUUAUGAGAGAAGACUGGAAGAAAAGAAGGAGUAUACCAAGAGAGGAGGACAAUGUCCUGGCCAGCUACGGCAGUGUCUCCUGAUUCAGACCUCCUUGCUCACACAUGCAUGCUCCAACCACAGUCUGAACACAUACAUGACAUUUUUUUUUAGACAGAACAAAAUUAAUUUUCCCGUUUACUUAUAAUAAAUCCCAAUUCUACAGAGAUUGAGAAUGAUGAAUGCCCAACAGGCUGAUGAUUUUAAAUUAUUACUUUUUAAAAUAAGAAAAUGGUUCUUACUACUAAAAAAUGAAACCAUGGCACUUUUGCGUAAAAGUAAACAGAAAACGGCCGGGGGCAGUGGCUCAUGCCUGUGAUCCCAGCACUUUGGGAGGCCGAGGUGGGCGGAUCAUGAGGUCAGGUGAUCGAGACCAUCCUGGCUAACAUGGUCAAACCCCGUCUCUACUAAAAAUACAAAAAAUUAGCCAGGCGUGGUGGCGGGCGCCUGUAGUCCCAGC
ensembl:lncRNA DLGAP1-AS3 DLGAP1 antisense RNA 3